rnacentral:rRNA from 1 species
UACGUAGGUGACAAGCGUUGUCCGGAUUUACUGGGCGUAAAGAGCGCGCAGGCGGUCGUUCAAGUCGAGUGUGAAAGCCCCCGGCUCAACUGGGGAGGGUCACUCGAUACUGAUCGACUCGAAGGCAGGAGAGGGUAGUGGAAUUCCCGGUGUAGUGGUGAAAUGCGUAGAUAUCGGGAGGAACACCAGUGGCGAAGGCGGCUCACUGGCCCGAUACUGACGCUGAGGUGCGAAAGCGUGGGGAGCAAACAGG